GACCGUGAUGGCAGCUCGCCACGCCCCGCCUCUUCCCGCCCACUUUGCCUGAAUCCUGCCGGCCCUGUUCCGCAGAUGCACUCCAGAAACUUUUGCAGAGACCCUCACCUCCUGAAGAAAGCUCAGCUGAUCCCCAGGUUCACCUCUCUCUGAACCUUGUGAAGGAGCAACAGACACAACCCGCCCUGUUCCGCACUACAGCCUGCAGACACGUUCUCCCCCACAACAAGUUCUGAUGUCCAUCAGGGGAGAACAGAUUGAUCUGCUGACUGGCCAACCCUGUCUGCCCAAAAUUCCAAAGUUACUUAAAAUGAAAAUUUUCUG